CACUCUGUGUAGUUGUCAUUUGUUUCUCUUCCCUCAUGAGGUUCGGUGGCGCAAACUCAACGAAUACAGACUGAGACAAACUAUUGAUAGAGGGACCAAAGAAAACCAAUCCUUACCAAGUAAACUCCAGGGUUUUCUUACAGUUUUGGGGGCUCGUCCUGGGAUUUCUCCAGACAGUGUACCAGUUUCUCAUGCCACACAGCCUCUGUUUGCAUUCACAUACGGGGGCCAACAGUACACUUGGUGCCGUCUGCCCCAGGUUUUCUGAGACUCACCUGCUGUAUUCUCCGCUGUAGUGCACGUCUCGCUGAAAGACACAAAGCUUCCACCACAGACAUGUUUUCUACAAUAUGCAGACGACAUUGUAGUUUUCGGCCCGACGCUGAAUCCUGCACAGCUGCCUCAACUAUUGUCUGCAACGUUCUGGCACAAAGCAUCCAAAGUGUAACUGCAAUGGGUGAAACUGAAAGUUGACUAUCUUGGUCAUGAACUGCAAAAGAGCCUGGGUGCCGAACUGCUCUCUAUAUGACAAGAUUCUGAGAGAAGCCACACUCAGGGGCCGAAGAACCCAUUAAGUGGACAGCUGAGAUGGACAUGGCUUUUAAGCAUCUCUGGAGCAGCAUUAGCUCCCCACCAGCUCUGGGCUUACCCAACUAUGGUGAAACAUUCCCUCUUUUACGUGCACGAGGCGGCAGGUACAGCAGCAGCGAUCCUUGCACAAUCCAUGGCGGCACCUACAGACCAGUUGCGUACCUGUGUCUGUGAGCCGUGGCUGCUGCAGCAUUGAUGGUGCAAGUUGCAGAGCAAAUUGUUCUCUCACAUCCACAUUGUGCACACAUCUCACCAGAAAAGCCCACUCACCCAUUUAUCCCAAACAAGCAGAUCCUCGUGAAGAGCCUGAAACCAACCAAGCUAAGGGAACCUAACUACUUGGGCCCCACAACUGUGAUAGCAGUGACCAGGACUGGCGUACUGACGGAUCUCCAGCCACAGUGGAUACACGCAAGCCGUGUGAAGUCAGCACCAGAGGAGGGUAGCAGUGACUCAUGAGAACGAGGUGAAAGUGUGGAGGAGCUAAACACGCAGUGCCAGUGCCUUAUCAAAAGCUCUGAGUAACUGUUUACUGCACAGCUGUACAUUACACUGCAAUGAGAGAGUGAGAGGAUGAGGAGCUCCAAUGUCCAUGCGAUGCGAUGUUGAAUAAGUAAAGUCUUGUGAUCUCUUCGUGAUCAAAGGGGGCAAUGUGAGAGAUAAGAUUAUAAGCAAAAUUUUAUUUUUGUACAAGGCUAACUGAGCGAUAAGAUUAUAAGAGACAUUGUAUUUUUGUACAAGGUUAACUGCUGAACAACAUGUUUUUGUUUUGUUUUGUUCUUACAUGUAUGUGCGUCACUUGUUUCUCUUUAAUGGAAGAAACUAUUCUGCUAAAUUAUACUGGCUUAUACUGCUUUACUGAAUGAUAUAUAAAGAUGUGCUUGAACAAAAAAAAAGCAAGAGAAGGAACCGAUUCACUCUGUGUAGUUGUCAUUUGUUUCUCUUCCCUCAUGAGGUUCGUAGGCGCAAACCAAAGAGCAGAUCUAUUAAUGAGGCACGUGGCAUUCAGGAUCCACGAGUUUCCGCAGGAUAUGGUUUCUGACUGGGACCCACAGUUCACGUCACAAUUCUGGAAGGUAUUUGGUCGGCUCAUCGGAUCUUCCAUCAGCCUGUCUUACGGCUUCCACACCCAGUCGAAUGGCCAGACAGAGAGAGUUAACCAAAACAUUGAAAGAUGCCUGGUCACCGACAAUCACUCGACUUAGAGCUCUCGAUUAAUCUGGGCUGAGUUUGCUCAUAACACUCUUUUCCAUUCUUCCCUAGGCAUAUCUCCUUUUGAGGGUCAGUAUGGCCCCCCCCCCUUUCCCGGACAGGAGCCAGAGGUUGAGGUCCCUGCCACUACACAGCUGGUCCGCCGGUGCCGACGUUCCUGGCAAAGAACUCAUGCUGCGUUAUUGAGAGCCGCCCGACAACAACAGAGGCAGGCUAACUGACGCCGGAAGGUGGGACCCACACUUCACCCAGGGCAAAGAGUUUGGCUGUCAACCCGAGAUCUUCCUCUUUCGAAUCCCGAAAGUUGGCCCCACGAUAUAUUGGCCCAUUUAAGGUUCUCAAGAAAAUCAGCCCAGUCUCUUAUCGACUCCAUCUGCCCAGGUCCAUGAAGGUUCACCCCACUUUUCAUGUUUCACGAUUAAAACCUGUUGCUUGCUCCACUCUGUCUCCAGUUAGUAAGCCUUCCCCAGUACCUCGUAUCAUUGAUGGCCAGCCAGCCUACAUAGUCCGCAGACUGCUUGAUUCUCGCCGGGUCCGUGGGAUAGACCCCCAGGGGCAGCUAAGGGGGUUCUAGGGGGUCCACGGAUAAAAAAAAAUAAAAAAAGUUUGACUAACAAAUUUGAAAAUAUUAGGGUUUAAUUCUGCUUUCUAAUGACUAGUUGGAAAUCAUGAGAUUAAUCAUGAUUAUUUUGUUCUAUUGACAGCCAUAGUUUUUAUAGAUUUUUAGAUUAGAUAGGUUUAUGAUUAAACAAAUGUGAAGAUACUUUUGCUUGCUCGCUGUUUUUUUGUUUUUUUUUUUUGGGCCAUAUUCUCAGUAAAGCAGCUUUGGAUCAAUAUUUCUCAUGGAAGCACCAUACAAAUACAUUUGAAUUAAAAUGUUCUUGUUUCAUAUUUCAAUUUUUCUUAAUAAAAAAAACAAGGUGAUGAGAAAAAACAAGAUAGAUAAUUUUGGACA